rnacentral:rRNA from 1 species
CAGGCCUAACACAUGCAAGUCGAACGAUGCUUUCGGGCAUAGUGGCGCACGGGUGCGUAACGCGUGGGAAUCUGCCCCUUGGUUCGGAAUAACAGCUAGAAAUGGCUGCUAAUACCGGAUGACGACGUAAGUCCAAAGAUUUAUCGCCGAGGGAUGAGCCCGCGUAGGAUUAGCUGGUUGGUGUGGUAAAGGCGCACCAAGGCGACGAUCCUUAGCUGGUCUGAGAGGAUGAUCAGCCACACUGGGACUGAGACACGGCCCAGACUCCUACGGGAGGCAGCAGUGGGGAAUAUUGGACAAUGGGCGCAAGCCUGAUCCAGCAAUGCCGCGUGAGUGAUGAAGGCCUUAGGGUUGUAAAGCUCUUUUACCCGGGAUGAUAAUGACAGUACCGGGAGAAUAAGCUCCGGCUAACUCCGUGCCA